rnacentral:rRNA from 1 species
UACGUAGGGGGCGAGCGUUGUCCGGAAUCAUUGGGCGUAAAGCGCGUGUAGGCGGCCCGGUAAGUCCGCUGUGAAAGUCUAGGGCUCAACCCUGGGAUGCCGGUGGAUACUGUCGGGCUCGAGUCCGGAAGAGGCGAGUGGAAUUCCUGGUGUAGCGGUGAAAUGCGCAGAUAUCAGGAGGAACACCAAUGGCGAAGGCAGCUCGCUGGGACGUGACUGACGCUGAGACGCGAAAGCGUGGGGAGCAAACAGG